rnacentral:rRNA from 1 species
ACAGCUUAUUUGAAUAUAAAAGGAUAUUAAUUUAGAAACGAAAGUUAAUACUAAAGUAAAAAAACUAGUAAGUUGUACUUUUUGAAUAACGGUUUCUUAAAAUUUUCAUAUUUUUUUUACCCGAAAUAGUAAGAUCUAUAGAUUUAUAAAAUUAAUGUAGCAAAAUUAGUUUGGAAUUAAUCUAUAGGAGCGAAAAACUUCCAAUUGCUAUAAUAUCUGGAUCUUUCCAAAAUGUAUCUAGUACAAAAAGUGAAUUAGCAAGUGAUUAGAUUUGCUAAAGAGAAUAUAAUAAUUAUAUUAAUAAAUUGGAUUAAUCUCCUAGUAAAUUAAUAUUUAAAUAUUAAUUUAUUUAUAUUUCUCUAGUAGGAAAGCGAUUUAAUUAAUUAAGGUUUAUUAGAAAAUUAGUAAGAUUAUAAAAAAAAGUUAAGGAACUCGGCAAAUAUAGAUUUCGACUGUUUACCAAAAACAUAGCCCUAAGUAUUUAUUUAGGGUAAUACCUGCCCAAUGAGAAAUUUAAUGGCCGCGGUACUUUGACCGUGCUAAGGUAGCAUAAUCAAUUGACUUUUAAAUGAAGUCUGGAAUGAAAGGGAGAACGGAAUUUAGCUGUCUUAAUUUUUUUAAUUUGAAUUUACUAACUAAGUGAAAAGGCUUAGAUAAGAUAAAAGACGAGAAGACCCUAAGAGUUUUUAAAACUAUUUUUGUUGGGGCGACAUAGGGUCAAAAUUAUAACACCCUAGAUGUAUGUGACGGAUUUAUCAUGUUUAGAUAAACUACCUUAGGGAUAACAGCAUAAUCCUUUUGGGUUUGUGACCUCGAUGUUGGACUAGGAAGCCUUUAGGCUAGCUGCCUAAUAGGGAGAUUCUGUUCGAAUUAUUACUCCUACAUGAUCUGAGUUCAGACCGGCGUAAGCCAGGUCAGUUUCUAUCUUUUAAAGACAGGGCCCUAGUACGAAAGGACCGGGUUUUGGUUUAAAU